rnacentral:rRNA from 1 species
AGAGUUUGAUCCUGGCUCAGAGCGAACGCUGGCGGCGUGCCUAACACAUGCAAGUCGAACGUGAAAGGGAGCAAUCCUGAGUAAAGUGGCGUACGGGUGAGUAACGCGUAGGUAAUCUACCCAAAAGUUUGGAAUAACCUGCCGAAAGGCGGGCUAAUACUAGAUAGAGCGACGGAAUCCGUAAUUGGGUUUUUCGGGAAAGGGAGGAAGCAAUUCCCUUCGCUUUGGGAUGAGCCUGCGUCUCAUUAGCUAGUUGGUGGGGUAAAGGCCUACCAAGGCAUUGAUGGGUAGCUGGUCUGAGAGGAUGAUCAGCCACACUGGAACUGAAACACGGUCCAGACUCCUACGGGAGGCAGCAGUGGGGAAUCUUGCGCAAUGGACGAAAGUCUGACGCAGCCACGCCGCGUGAGUGAAGAAGGCCUUCGGGUUGUAAAGCUCUGUCGCCCGGGACGAAAAAGGGUGAGGUGAAUAGCCUCAUUUUCUGACGGUACCGGGAGAGGAAGCACCGGCUAACUCCGUGCCAGCAGCCGCGGUAAUACGGAGGGUGCAAGCGUUGCUCGGAAUUAUUGGGCGUAAAGGGUAGGUAGGUGGUCUUAUUUGUCUGGGGUGAAAGCCUUGAGCUUAACUCAAGAAGUGCCCCAGAAACGGUAAGACUCGAGUCCUGGAGAGGGUCGUGGAAUUCCCGGUGUAGCGGUGAAAUGCGUAGAGAUCGGGAGGAACACCAGAGGCGAAAGCGGCGACCUGGACAGGCACUGACACUCAACUACGAAAGCGUGGGGAGCAAACAGGAUUAGAUACCCUAGUAGUCC